UAGUCACGAUGACUAUUCAGUUAGUCAAAUAUCAGCCGAAAGGUAGUCAAAAGCAUAUAUGACUACCCAUCAAGUCAUUAUGACUACCUGCAUGGUCAAUUGACUAUGUUAGUGGUCACCAGCACCACGUGGUGUAGAGUAUCGGUUUUCACGCGCACUCUAUCGCGUUCCCUUUGUUCCAUAGAUUGUGUAGAUGUAAACAAACCAGAAGGCACGGAAACUGUUAUUUUGUCAAAUAUACCAACUGUUUUAACAAAUGAAGACAUUACUAUUUGUAUGAACACAGCUAAGAGAUUUUUGACCAUAGAGAACACCACACUGACACAUGCAGAGUUGAUACCGACAAAAUAUCUGAAAUAAACACUUCAAAUGAACAAUGAGUUUUAAUACAAUAAAUUUAUUUUCUUUA